rnacentral:rRNA from 1 species
GACGAACGCUGGCGGCGUGCUUAACACAUGCAAGUCGAACGAAGUGGCGAACGGGUGAGUAACGCGUAAUCAACCUGCCCUUCAGAGGGGGACAACAGUUGGAAACGACUGCUAAUACCGCAUACCGAAGUAGGGGUCUGCGUCUGAUUAGCUGGUUGGAGGGGUAACGGCCCACCAAGGCGAUAAUCAGUAGCCGGUCUGAGAGGAUAAACGGCCGCAUUGGGACUGAGGCACGGCCCAGACUCCUACGGUGUGCAGCAGUGGUGAAUCUUCCGCAAUGGACGAAAGUGUGACUGAGCAACGCCGCGUGAGUGAUGGCGGCCUUCGGGUUGUAAAGCUCUGUUAAUCGGGACGCGGUACCGGAAUAGAAAGCCACGGCUAACUACGUGCCAGCAGCCGCGGUAAUAC